CAAGCCCCAAGUUCAAGUGCGGAAGCAACAGCCCAUUCAUUACCACGGUGCCUGCCGCCCCCUAGUGGCCCCCACCUGGGUAUGCAAGAGGAAGAGAUGCCUUCUACCAAACCAGUGAAGAAAAGGGAAAACUCAGAGAAAACUGGCCUGGGAAAGCCCCAAGAAGCAGGCCCACCCUACCCCAUCCAAGCCCCGAGGAGGGCAUCCUGAGAGGCCCCAGGAUCUUGAGGCAACACAAGUAGAAGCAGCUAUGCCUGGGACUCCGAGAAGCCUCACAGCCGGCAGGCACCUUCUCCCCCCUCAACCUGGGGCUUCUCCCAGGCCAGUCCCCUCCAUUGUGACAGAACAAGCCCAGCCCCCAGACAGAGCCCAGGGCAAGCACCAAGAUGGGACAAGGUGGCCCCUACACCCCAGGGAGGGGCCAAGGUCAGUUACCGGCUUGCUCCUCGGGGGCCUCUGUCAGGAAGGGAACAAGAAGCAGAGUUAUUCCAAGGGGACUGCUCGGACUUAGGGCCCUUCUCUUUCCCCUCAGCCUCCGAAUCCUGCCCCCCCCCCCCCCCCUUCACAGUGCUCCGCAUUACUGCCAUCCAAGUCCAGGGGCAGAGAUCCUUCUCUGGGCAUCAGAGCCUCCUGUUCUGACGUGGGAGACUGGGAAGAGGCACAUGCAACAGAGGGUGAUAACAGACACAUCUGUGCUGGGCCUCACCAGACCCAGAAGGCACACCCAGCCUGGAAACCUGAGAGGCCCAGGCAUCUGCACCCUGGGCCUCCCCAGACUCACCCAGAGAGAAGCCAUCCUUAUGGACCAGCCACACCUUCUCUGUCUCAUACCAGGACUCCUCAGCUGCAAUCUGCUCUUCUGUCUUCACCUAUCAGAGGAAGGGGGGGUAAUAAAUAGUCAGACCUUGCUCUGGAAAACAGUCGGGACAGAAGAGAAGAGACACGUGAGGGGAAGUGCUUCCAGAUGAGCCACCUGGUUAAACGUUCAUCUCGACUGGACACAUUCUACGGGUCAGAUGCUUGGAACCUGAUGAAGAAGGGGACAUCACAGGGUCCUGGCCUAGAACGAAUCCUUUAGAGCUAAUUCAAGGGUAGGUUCCCAAAUUGGCCAGCAGGUGGAGCCAAAGAAUGCCACAUCUUCUGGCUUGGGAAGGCGGGUGGGAGGUGGGAGGGGCUCAGCCUUUCAGCUUUCUCUACCCAGAGUAAGAGGAAUUAAAACACCUAGAAACCAAAACUCUUGCCAGGCCCUUGGGUUCCAGUGGUUAAAAUCCAGAUGCCACAGGUCCAACCUCAAGUGGUGGCACUCAGACUGGACACCUCCCAAGGGCCUGACACAGAACAGCCCCAUUUCAAACUUCUGGCACCACCUCCCCCAAGGAUCCCCCCAGAUACAGGGUGGGAGCCGGAAGGGAAAAGAGGCCUUACACUCCAGCAUGAGGCCCGAGCACAGACGCCAGCCCAGGUACAGGCCAGGGGUGGAAGGCGGUCACUGGAGGAAGCGGAGGGCUCCUGAAGGGGGCAGGA